CGCAGUCCUUCCAGCCUGCUGCUCCUGUGAAUCACAGGUCGGCUGGAGCGGUUUUUUCUUUUUUCUUUCUUUCUUUUUUUUUUUUUUUUUCCGGGGAGUCAGCCUCGAGGCUCUGCUCUUCUACCUCAGUCUGCCCUGCCCUGGAAUGGGGAAAAUGCGGACACGCCACUCAGUCUGGACGUGAACAGUGCCCCAGAACUCAGAGAGUUUUCCAGACGGGUGGAGAUUGCGUUCCCUGCCCCCCAGAGGUCCCAUCGCUUCCCUGCUGGGGAGACGUGUGAAGUGCCUUAGCCGUUUCCACGGCCAGCCCCUCCCUCAUAAGCCCAGAUCACCCCUGUGGGCUCGUAGUCCAUAGCUGCCUUUGAGGUGGUGUAGAGCUUGCUAACCAGGACGGGCCAAUAGGCAGAGCUCAUUUUAAUUUCUGUCUGCAAUCGUGCAAAAACGCCUCUCAUGGAAGAGGCAGAGCGCCAGGAGUCAGCAAAACACACUAAAGAUUGGGCAGUCACAGGGCAGAACGUGAGUAAAAGCACAGGAACGGCAAAGCUUUCAGGAACGUUCGAGGCUGACGCAACCGGCGCGGGAAGGUGGUGUGUGGUGGAGACAGCAUCUUGUUCUGUUGCUCAGUCUUGAGUGGACUGAACACAACUCACUGAAGACUUGAGUUCCCAGGCCCCAGUGAUCCUCCUGCCUCAGCCUCCCAAGUAGCUGGACCACAGGGCAGCUAUGAAGUCUGAAGAGGUGGUAUAAAUGAGAGACAUAAUAAAUUAAAGCACUAUUCAAAUGUAAGUAAUCAUUACUGCUAUCAUUUCCUAUGUAUAUGUUGUCUGGCCAACCUGUUCAAAGAUUCUUGGGCUUUUCCUUUCAUUCUACUGCCACACCCCCUUCCUCUUAAUAGACACACAGCAUAUCCUCAGUAAAUAUUUGUGAACUGAUUGAUGCACUCAAACAAUCUUGCCUUGUGGUCAAAAGUAAAAAGAGAAGUAUUUUACAUUUUGGUAGUCAUUCCCUAGCCACUUUCUGCUGUCAAAUUGUUCAGCCUAAAAAACUAAUAAUAAACAAACAACUUGUUAAGCUUGUAGUCAGUGAGGGUUCAUAGCCUUUUUCAAUUGAACUGUUAAGCUAAGUCUUCCUCAUCCUAUGUUCGUGAAAUUAAUAUUUCGAAUAUAAGCAUAGGACUUUAAAAAUAUCCCUGGUAAAUUUCAUUUAUUUGUUAAAAAAACUCUAACUCUGGAACCUAUUUAGAGCUUUAUGAAUUCCAAUUCAGUCUUCCAAGAUAUUCAAUAUCCCUUCUAGCUUUCUUUAGCUGAAAAUAGCAUAAGUAUGCCUUCUUUAUCACAGAUAAGAGGGCUGUCUAGGUCAGAGACAAGGACAAAGUUUUGUUUUGAACUAAUCUGAAAUGAGACAUUCUUCUCCCUUGAGUACUAUGCAGUAAAUGGAUGAGCACACCCGGUUUACCAAGGUCAUUCCAGUUUUGUUCCCCAAACAAUUCCUUAUUUAUGUCGUGGACCAGGCUUAGAAUCAGAGCCAGUAGAAUAGCCAGUGAAGAAAAAGGAAAAAUAUUGUAGAACGUUAGGUAAAGAUAAUAUUCUGUACAAAAAAAUAACCAUAGCCAACAGUACCUCUGCCUUUUAUCCUCUGUGAAGGCAAGAGAGUGAAGUGAAAGAGUAAAAAAAAUACUUUGUUACCCAAGUGUUAAAAGACUUGGCAAGUAUGAGUGCUGCCAAAGACAGAUGGACCCCAAGGCCAUUCUAGCAACAAAUGGAGAAAAACCAAGAGAAAGGAGUAGAAGGUGUGUUUAGAAUCAUGGGUUUUGUAGCCGGGUGCAGUGGCAGGUGCCUGUAAUCCCAGCUACUUGGGAGGCUGAGGUAGGGGAAUUGCUUGAAACCGGGAGGUGGAGGUUGCAGUGAGCUGAGAUUGCACCACUGCACUCUAGCCUGGGCGACAGAGCAAGACACCAUCUCAAAAAAAAAAAGAAUCAUGGGUUUUGGAAUCAUGAUAUUCAGUGGAAUGUAAGGAAGAAGAAACCCUUUAGAAUUGAGUCAGCCUGGUUCUAAUAUUUGUAAUUUCAGUAGAAAAAUCUUGAACUGGCCUAGAGAGGAGUCAUUUAGUGUUAAUGGACUGCUGACUCCAGCUUCUAACCAGAGCCUGACAGGGCAGAUCGAGAUCCAGUCAGUGCCUCCCUUCCACUCUUGUCAGCACCCUCGUCUGAGUGUGGGGGAAGAUUGGUGAGAUAUCACGUAAGACAAUGUCAUAGAAAUCGACUGGGGGUAGAGGUUUCCCAACUUGGAAAAGUGUCCUACAGUCUCUUUGUAUUUUGUUCUUCUUUUUUUCUUUUUAUUUUAUUCUUAUUUUGUAUUUAAGUUAUACUUGUACAUGAUUUAAAGAAUUAAAUGGCCUUUAAGGUUUGUCCCCAUCCCCCCAACUCCCCACCCUGCCAUGGGGCUGUUUUGAAAUAGCAGUGCUCCAGGCUCCUCUCCUCACCAUUUUCUUCUCAAAGGUAAUCACUUUCAACUCCUUUUAAUGGAAACUUCUGGCAUUUACCUCUCUGUCUCCCAAAGACUUACCUCUAAAGGUUUAUAUGACUGUGCGUUAAUUUAAGCAUUUUUACAUUAUUUAGGAACUUCCCCCCAGAGAAGAAGAGACUUGCAUAGUUUUCAUGACCGCCAGUGCCACCACUACCACAUCCUCACUCAUUCACAUGGCAUCUGCAUGCUUCACUUUCUCUGUCCUCUCAAUACACUUGUGUUAUAAUUUUGGCUAAUUAGUCAGUGUGGGCCCAGGUGCGGUGGCUCACACCUGUAAUCCCAGCACUUUGGGAGGCCGAGGUGGGUGGAUCAUGAGGUCAGGAAUCAACACCAGCCUGGCUAAGAUGGGGAAACCCUGUCUCUACCAAAAAUACAAAAGUGAGUUGCCCUGGUGGUGAGCACCUGUAAUCCCAGCUACUCGGGAGGCUGAGGAUGAGAAUCACUUGAACCAGGGAGGUGGAGGUUGCAGUGAGCCAAGGUCACACUAUUGCCCUCCAGCUAGGGCAACAGAGCGAGACUGUCUCAAAAACAAAGUCAAUGUUUAUACUGCUAUGACUAUGCAAAUACUGUUCACAAAUAAGCCAAGUAAUGUUUUUCUCUUACACAACUUUGUUUUCUUUGGACCUAAUAGUUGUAUUUUUCUAUGUACUUAUUAUUAAUUUAACUCAACCUCCCCUGCCCCCCUCCAGUUGUCUACAUCUCUUCUCAAUAUAUUUGGUCACAUUAGAUAUUUUUUCAAUUUCCUUUUCCUGAAGAAAUCUCUCCUGGAGCCCCCUCACAUGCUCUAAUCUGGACUGGUUACUCUCUCAACCUGUUGCAUACAUCAUUUUUGUCCUGGGAAUUCUCUUCAGCAUCAUUCUCUCCUGUGUUAGAUUGACUAUUCUGGAUUCUUUGUGUUCCUCUUUCUUGGUUUACUCCCUUGCUUUGGAGAAACCCAUUUUUUUUGAGACAGAGUCUCACUAUAUUGCCAGGCUGGAGUGUGGUGGCAUGAUCUCAGCUCACUUCAACCUCUGCCUCCCAGGUUCAAGUGAUUCUUGUGUCUCAGCCUCCUGAGUAGUUGGGACUACAGGCAUGUGCCACAGCACUUGUCUAAUUUUUGUAUUUUUAGUAGAGACGGGUUUCACCAUGUUGGCCAGGCUGGUCUCAAGCUCCUGGCCUGAAGUGAUCAGCCUGCCUCAGCCUCCCAAAGUGCUGGGAUUACAGGUAUGAGCCCCCAUGCCCAGCUGAGAAACUCAUUCUUUAUUAGUCUUGUGGAAAAGGCAUAUUUUAAAAAUAUUCUCUUUGUUCUUGGUUUCCCAAAAUUUUGUGUGAUGUGCCUCUGUAUGGAUCCAUUUCCAUCCAUUAGCAAAGACAUUUGUUAAUCCAUUUCAAUCCAGAAAUGUUUUUCCUUCAAUUCUGAGGAAUUUUUUUUUUAUUAAUUGAUGAUUUCAUCUUCCUCCUCCAUUUUCUUUGUUUUCUCUCUUGAAUCUUCAAAAUUCUCUAUUUAAAAAUUCCUAUAUUAUUUUCCAUGUUUUUUUUUCUUUUGCUUGGCUUUCUAGAUUCCCUGAACUUUAUCUUACAAACCUUCUAUCAGUUUUUUUCAGAUGGAGUUUCGAUCUUAUUGCCCAGGCUGGAGUGCACUGGCUCGAUCUCAGCUCACUGCAACCUCCGACUCCCAGGUUCAAGUGAUUCUCCUGCUUCAGCCUCCUGAGUAGCUGGGAUUACAGACACCCACCACCAUGCCUGGCUAAGUUUUGUAUUUUUGUAGAGAUGGGGUUUCACCAUGUUGGCCAGGCUGGUCUCGAACUCCUGAGUUCAGGUGAUCCACCCACCUCAUCCUCCCAAAGUGCUGGGAUUAUAGGUGUGAGCCAUCUUGCCUGACCCUGUUGAGUUUUUAAGACCUGUUAUCAUACUUUAAUUUCCAAAGAUUCUUCUAGAAUGUUUCUUUUUACUGUUUCUUGUCUGCUUCCAUGGAAUAUUUUCUGGGUUUUAUGCUUUAUUUUGUUUUGUGUUUUUAGAGGCAGGGUCUUCUUUGUUGCCCAGACUGAUCUUGAAUUCCUAACUUCAAGCAAUCCUCUAGCCUCAGCCUCCCAAGGUGCUGAGAUUACAGGUGUGAGCCAAUACACCCAGCCUGCAAUAUUUUCUUAUUCUUUUAAGAAUAUUAAUGAUGGUAUGAUCCACUUAAUAUUAUAUAUUCACCCACAUUGAUAUGUGUAUUUCUAGUUAUUCAUCCAUUCUUCUGUUCAUGGACAUUCAAUUUAUUUCCAGCUUUUUACUGUAAAUAUGAUGUAUCUGUCUCCUUAGUAUACAUGUGUAAGAGUCUCCUGAGAAUUGAAAUUUCUGGGUCACAGGAUAUGAGCAUUAGACUUUAUUAGAUACUGAUAAAUAGUUCUUCAAAUGGUUGUGCCAACUUAACAGUCUCAUCAGCAGUGUAUGAGUGUCUACUCCUCCACUUCUUUACCAGCACUUGAUAUUAUCUGGCCGAUUUUCCCACCUACUUUUGUAGCUUUAAUUCCCACUGCCUUCCUGCAUAAAUCUUUGGUUCCAGCCAUAUUGUAGUACUUGCUGCCCCUUGAACGCAUUCUAUAAUUGAUUUCCCUUCUCCCUCAAGUAUUUGUUGAGUAACUCUACGUGUCAGAAGCCCUGCUAAGUGCUAGGAAAACAAAGAUGAAAGUACUCAGUUCCUGCCCUAAAGGAGAUUAUAAUUUACUGGAGUGACAGACAGGCAAACGACAGUUAUAUAUAGUAAGUGUUACAAUGAAGGUACUUAACAAUUACAGAAAGCAAGAAGGCAGAAGGAGUCUAUCUCAAUUUGGGACAGCUAAGGAAAAUGGGGAGAGGGUCAGAGAAGACUUUACAGAGGAGGAAGUUUGGCCAUGUAUUCCCCCACACAGUUACCUCUGCCUGGAUGUUCCUUCCCUCUCCUCUUGUCCUUUUUGUGCCAGCUCAAAGGCUAGCUGCCCACAUACUGUCCCAAUCACUCCGGGAAAGUACUUUGCACUUUCCUUAUAUCCUGUCUUGUAUAAUAUCCUGGAUAUUUAUAUAUGCACAUCUUACUUCCUUUACUAAAUUAUAACCUUAAUGGAAGAUGUUGCACUCUUAUAUGCCUGUAUAUAUCCCAUAAAGGCCAGAAGUGGUGGCUCACACCUAUCUAUAAUCCCAGCACUUUGGGAGACCAAGGUGGGAGGAUCGUUUGAGUCCAGAGGUCAGAGAUCAGCCUGGGAAACAUAGUGAGAUACCCAUCUCGACAAAAAAUUUAAAAAUUAGCCAGAUAUGGUGGUGUACGCCUGUAGUCCUAGCUAUUCAGGAGGUUGAGGCAGGAGGAUCACUUGAGUCCAGGGGUUCAAGUAUGCAGUAAGCUAUGACCACGGUGCUGCACUCCAGCCUGCGCAACAGAGCAAGACUCUGUCUCUAAAAUAAAAUAAAACAAAACAAAGUAAAAUAGGCCAGGUGCACUGGCUCAUGCCUUUCAUUCCAGCACUUUGGGAGGCCAAGGCAAGCAGACCACUUGAGGUCAGGAGUUUGAGAUCAGCCUGGCCAACAUGGUGAAACUCAUCUCUACUCAAAACACAAAAAUUGGCUGGAUGUGGUGCUUACCUGUAAUCCCAGCUACUUGGGAGGCUGAAGCGGGAGAAUCACUUGAACUUGGGAGGCAGAGGUUGCAGUGAGCUGAGGUCACACCACUGCACUCCAGCCGGGGCAACAGCGUGAGACUCUGUCUCAAAAAAAUAAAAAUAAAAACAAUAUCUCCCAUACAGCCUAGAAUACUGAUGGCACACAGUGUAUAUUCAUUCAGCAAUUGCUUGUAGAAUGAAAGAUGAAAACAAACAAGGGAGGGCUACAUCAGGUUCCCAUUCUCCCAGAUGCUUGACCCUUCAAACAUUUUAAGCAAUUGCUAAUUUGGACUGCUAUUUACUAUUGCCAAAGUAACAGGAAGACUUUAAGAAAACAACAACUCUUUUAAAAGUCAACUACCCUAUUCUUUUGGUACAAAAAACAUGUUAUGAAACAUUAUAAAAUCUAGCCAAUAGGCUGGGAGUGGUGGCUCAUGCCUAUGAGCACUUUGGGAGGCCAAGGUGGGUAGAUCAUGAGGUCAGGAGUUCAAGACCAGCCUGGCCAAGAUGGUGAAAUCCGUCUUUACUAAACCUACAAAAAUUAGCUGGGAGCAGUGGCAGGUGCCUGUAAUCCCAGCUAUUUGGGAGGCUGAGGCAGGAGAAUUGCUUGAACCUGGGUGGCAGAGGUCUCAGGGAGCUGACAUCACACCACUGCCCUCCAGCCUGAGCCAAAGAGCGAGACGCCGUCUCAAAAAAAAAAAAAAAAAAAAAAAAAUUUAGUCAGUUGUGAGGGCUUUUAUAUUCUGUUUCCUGCGUCUUUAACAGACUCUACAUUUCCAUUUUAAAUAAUCUUGCCAACAUUAAUUGGCACUCUAUCAGCAGAAUGUAAAAUAUUGCAUAUUUAUCUGGUAUAUGGAGAAGUUAGGUAGGAAGCAGUUGAGGAAUUGGAAGCUGGUGGUUUAUAUACUCCUAUGAGUCUUCCCCUUUCUAAUGGCGGAGGUUAAUAAAAUGCUAUCUGUGUCGAGCUUUACUUUUUUAGGCAGGGUCUUACUCUGCUUACUCUGUCACCUGAGCUAGAGUACAUGACCGUGGCUUACUGCAGUCUUGACCUCAUGGGUUCAAGCAGUCCUCUCCAUCCUCUUGGCUCAGCUUCCCGAGUAGCUGGGCUGCAUGCCAGUUUGCCUGGCUAAUUUAAAAAAAAAAAUUUUUUUUUGUAAAGACGAGAUUUCCCUAUGUUGCCCAGACUAGUCUCAAACUCCUGGGCUCUAGCAAUCCUCAUGCCUUGGCCUCACAAACGGCUGGGAUUACAAGUGCGAGCCACUGUGCCCAGCCUGCUUUGAGCUUUGUAACAUAUAUGGUGUCUUAAUUUUUAAAAAAGAUUUUGGUAAGUGAAUUCAAGUUACUUAUCAUCACAGUUACAGGAAAAGUGUCAUAGGCUUUACUUAGACUUUGAGAGUUCUGUUGAGAGCACAGAAGCUGAUCGAGGGAGUUAGCAGUUGAAGACAACAGAGACAGUUUAGUUAAUAUGAGUGCCUGCUAUGUGUCAGACAAUUUUCCAAACGGAGCUUUUACCCCGUGCCGAAAUAGGCAGUUGGAUUCUGCUCCAGGCCUGAAGGAAAUAGGUUUUAUUCAUAGACUUUUAUACAUAUCUACUUAAUAACAUUAUCUAUAACAGAAAACUAUGUAAACUUAGGUAAAAGUAUUUUCUUUUCUU